rnacentral:rRNA from 1 species
GUGGCAAUAGCUGGUUGCAUUAACGAAAAAUUAGUGUAAGAUCGACUCUGUCGAAUAAAAUUCUAGAUAGAAUUAUGAUAAUGACAUUAUCUAUCUAUGUGUCUUGACCAAAUUACGUGCCAGCAGUCGCGGUAAUACGUAAAAGACUAGUGUUAUUCAUCUUUAAUAGGUUUAAAGGGUACUAAGACGGUUUAUAAAGCCCGAAUAGGGAACUAAUAUACUAGAGUUUGAUGUAAGGAAGCAUUAAAGUACUGUUGGUGUAGAGAUAAAAUUCUAUCAUACCAAAUAUGGCACAGGUUUAGGCGAAAGCAUCUUCUUAUGUAAUAACUGACGUUGAAGGACGAAGGCUUUGUGUCUCGAACAGGAUUGGAUACCCCAGUAGUCUAAGCAGACAAUGAUGAAUGUCAUAGAUUAGAUUUAAUGAAAUUUAUUCUAUAAAUGAAAGUGUAAGCAUUCCACCUCAAGAGUAAUUUGGCAACAUUGGAACUGAAAUCAUUAGACCGUUUCUGAAACCAGUAGUGAAGUAUGUUGUUUAAUUAGAAGAUACGCAAAAAACCUUACCACAAUUUGAAUUAGUAAUAUGUUUUCACAAGCGUUGCACGGCUGUCUACAGUUAAUGUCGUGAGAUUUUGGUUAGUUCCAUUAAAUUAACGCAAACCCUUACUUUAUUUUUAAU